GAUGAACGCUGGCGGCGUGCCUAAUACAUGCAAGUCGAGCGAACAGACGAGGAGCUUGCUCCUCUGACGUUAGCGGCGGACGGGUGAGUAACACGUGGAUAACCUACCUAUAAGACUGGGAUAACUUCGGGAAACCGGAGCUAAUACCGGAUAAUAUGUUGAAUCGCAUGGUUCAACAGUGAAAGACGGUCUUGCUGUCACUUAUAGAUGGAUCCGCGCCGCAUUAGCUAGUUGGUAAGGUAACGGCUUACCAAGGCAACGAUGCGUAGCCGACCUGAGAGGGUGAUCGGCCACACUGGAACUGAGACACGGUCCAGACUCCUACGGGAGGCAGCAGUAGGGAAUCUUCCGCAAUGGGCGAAAGCCUGACGGAGCAACGCCGCGUGAGUGAAGAAGGUCUUCGGAUCGUAAAACUCUGUUAUUAGGGAAGAACAAAUGUGUAAGUAACUAUGCACGUCUUGACGGUACCUAAUCAGAAAGCCACGGCUAACUACGUG
rnacentral:rRNA from 1 species